rnacentral:rRNA from 1 species
AACGUAGGAGACAAACGUUAUCCGGAGUUACUGGGCGUAAAGGGCGUGUAGGUGGUUGCGUAAGUCUGGCGUGAAAUUUUUCGGCUUAACCGGGAAAGGUCGUCGGAUACUGCGUAACUAGAGGACGGUAGAGGCGUGUGGAAUUCCGGGUGUAGUGGUGAAAUGCGUAGAGAUCCGGAGGAACACCAGUGGCGAAGGCGACACGCUGGGCCGUACCUGACGCUGAGACGCGAAAGCGUGGGGAGCGAACCGG